rnacentral:rRNA from 1 species
UACGUAGGGGGCAAGCGUUGUCCGGAUUUAUUGGGCGUAAAGAGCGUGUAGGCGGCCGUACAGGUCAGCUGUGAAACUCGAGGCUCAACCUCGAGACGUCGGUUGAAACCGUACGGCUAGAGUCCGGAAGAGGAGAGUGGAAUUCCCCGGUGUAGCGGUGAAAUGCGCAGAUAUCGGGAAGAACACCCGUGGCGAAGGCGGCUCUCUGGGACGGUACUGACGCUGAGACGCGAAAGCGUGGGGAGCGAACAGG